AGCUCCGAGGUGUACUAACAUACUAGAUUGCAAAUCUUGAGAGGUAGGUUAACCCCUACCGGAGCUU
rnacentral:tRNA from 1 species